GACGAACGCUGGCGGCGUGCUUAACACAUGCAAGUCGAACGGAAAGGCCCUGCUUUUGUGGGGUGCUCGAGUGGCGAACGGGUGAGUAACACGUGAGUAACCCGCCCUUGACUUUGGGAUAACUUCAGGAAACUGGGGCUAAUACCGGAUAGGAGCUCCUGCUGCAUGGUGGGGGUUGGAAAGUUUCGGCGGUUGGGGAUGGACUCGCGGCUUAUCAGCUUGUUGGUGGGGUAGUGGCUUACCAAGGCUUUGACGGGUAGCCGGCCUGAGAGGGUGACCGGCCACAUUGGGACUGAGAUACGGCCCAGACUCCUACGGGAGGCAGCAGGGGGGAAUAUUGCACAAUGGGCGGAAGCCUGAUGCAGCAACGCCGCGUGCGGGAUGACGGCCUUCGGGUUGUAAACCGCUUUCUCCUGUGACGAAGCGUUAUUGACGGUAAUGGGUAAAGAAGCACCGGCUAACUACGUG
rnacentral:rRNA from 1 species